rnacentral:rRNA from 1 species
UACAGAGACUGCAAGCGUUAUUCGGAUUCACUGGGCGUAAAGGGUGCGCAGGCGGCCAUGCGUGUCUUCCGUGAAAUCCCUCGGCUUAACCGAGGACGUGCGGAAGAAACUGCAAGGCUCGAGUCCGGAAGAGGGGGGCGGAAUUCCCAGUGUAGCGGUGAAAUGCGUAGAUAUUGGGAGGAACACCAGUGGCGAAGGCGGUCCCCUGGGCCGGAACUGACGCUGAUGCGCGAAAGCGUGGGGAGCAAACGGG